rnacentral:tRNA from 3 species
CGCGGGAUGGAGCAGUUGGUAGCUCGUCGGGCUCAUAACCCGAAGGUCACAGGUUCAAGUCCUGUUCCCGCAACCA